UACGAAGGGGGGCUAGCGUUGCUCGGAAUCACUGGGCGUAAAGCGCACGUAGGCGGCUUCUUAAGUCAGGGGUGAAAUCCUGGAGCUCAACUCCAGAACUGCCUUUGAUACUGGGAGGCUCGAGUCCGGAAGAGGUGAGUGGAACUGCGAGUGUAGAGGUGAAAUUCGUAGAUAUUCGCAAGAACACCAGUGGCGAAGGCGGCUCACUGGUCCGGUACUGACGCUGAGUGCGCGAAAGCGUGGGGAGCAAACAGG
rnacentral:rRNA from 1 species